rnacentral:rRNA from 1 species
UACGAAGGGGGCUAGCGUUGCUCGGAAUCACUGGGCGUAAAGGGUGCGUAGGCGGGUUUUUAAGUCAGAGGUGAAAUCCUGGAGCUCAACUCCAGAACUGCCUUUGAUACUGAAAGUCUUGAGUAUGGGAGAGGUGAGUGGAACUGCGAGUGUAGAGGUGAAAUUCGUAGAUAUUCGCAAGAACACCAGUGGCGAAGGCGACUUACUGGACACAUAUUGACGCUGAGGUGCGAAAGCGUGGGGGGCAAACAGGG